AGUGGACUCUGAGAAGCUUGCUCUGAAGGAAGCUGAAGGUGGGGGCCCCGGAGACUGUUUCUCCAUUUUGGUCACGUUCUAGGUUGUCACUGACCAUGAGGACUCUCUACCUGAUGUAUAUGGUGCUUUUUUUGGUAUUUCCCUAUGCUGUCAAAGGGAUGCGGGAACCUGAAAAUUAUCUUCAAUGUGACUUUGUGGGUGGCCAUUGUUUCAGUUAUUGUCCAAGACCAUAUGCACCAUAUGGCUUCUGUGAUCGUCCACGUCUUAAAUGCUGCAAAAGUUAGCAAACAGAGACAGAAAAGAAGAGUGCAUUCAGAUUCUGUGGUAUAGAUGAGUGAGAGUAUUAAAUAGGGGAGAAGUUGAAA